GCUGUAUAGGCGCAGGAGUGGCUGUAUAGGCGCAGGAGUGGCUGUAUAGGCGCAGGAGUGGCUGUGUGGUAUUUGGUUUCAAGUCUAACCCAGAUAUUUGAGGCUAACAUCUUCAAUAGAUGCGUUCACAUCAUGGCUGAAAGAAAGGGAAAAACUCCUAACAGGUACCGAUCACUGAGUGACUUCACCAUACUUGACGAAAUAAAAACAAGAGACAGACUAACUACAUGUACAAGAAUGUACAAUUGGUUGGCGUAGAAAACUAAAAUUAUUUAGAGAAUAAAUAACUCAGAGAUGCCAUUUGCUUGAACUAUAUAAGUUAGUGGCAUUAACAAAAGCAAUAACACUGGAAAAUACAUCCAUAUCAAUGAAGAGUCAAGCAUAUUGAUUGAACAAAAUUAUCCAGGACAAUCAACAAGGAAAAGCAGAUCUGAGGAUAUGAGUAUAAAAAUAAUACAAGAACACAAGUAUAGCUUACCAUAAUCUACAACUUUACACACAGUCCAGAAAGAGCGGUAUUGAACACCGCCCACGUCCUACGUAAGACAUUUUCAGUUAAAUAGCAAAACCCACACAGUAAACGAUACACACUUCGCAAAGUAUAUUCUAUAUAAUACAG